rnacentral:misc_RNA from 1 species
GAUGAAGAACGUAGCGAAAUGCGAUAAGUAAUGUGAAUUGCAGAAUUCAGUGAAUCAUCGAAUCUUUGAACGCACAUUGCGCCCAUUAGUAUUCUAGUGGGCAUGCCUGUUCGAGCGUCAUUUCAACCCUUAAGCCCCCGUUGCUUAGUGUUGGGAGCCUACGCGCGGUCCCCCCGCCGUAGCUCCUCAAAGACAGUGGCAGAGUCGGUUCAAACUCUAGGCGUAGUAAAUCUAUAUCUCGUCUCUGUAGUUGGGCUGGCCCUCGCCGUAAAACACCCCACGUUUUUAAAGGUUGACCUCGGAUCAGGUAGGAAUACCCGCUGAACUUAAGCAUAUCAAUAAGCGGAGGA